rnacentral:rRNA from 1 species
UACAGAGGUCUCAAGCGUUUGUUCGGAUUCAUUGGGCGUAAAGGGUGCGUAGGCGGCGCGGUAAGUCGGGUGUGAAAUCUUGGAGCUUAACUCCGAAACUGCAUUCGAUACUGCCGUGGCUUGAGGACUGGAGAGGAGACUGGAAUUUGACGGUGUAGCGGUGAAAUGCGUAGAUAUCGUAAGGAAGACCAGUGGCGAAGGCGGGUC